AGGUUACUAUGGUUACUAUGCCUGUUUGCGGGGAAUGAACCACCUGGAUGCCUUCCUCAGGAAGACGGUGUGUAACUGUCAGAUAGUGAACCUGGGGGCAGGGCUGGACACCACUUUCUGGAGGUUAAAGGAUGAACACCUCGAAACCAAGUCGACUUUCCGAUGAUGGCUGGCAGGAAAAUACACAACAAAAAAUAAGCCGUUUUAUUUUUCCCUCUUUAGAAAACUUCAUAUAGAUCACAGUUUUAUUUGUUUUGACAUAAUUGUGGUCUCAGUAAUGUCAGAAAUUGACCCGUAGAGGGAGGCAGAGCCUGUCCAGCUAAACUUGUAGCGAGAUCAUCUCUUAAUAAGAAACACACCUUAAUGUGUAGUUAUAAUGUUGUGCACCACUUCAGGACAAAACCACUGCUGUCAAAACCUCUCAUUGAGACCUAUUCCACAGAUUCAUUAUUACUAAGUAAUGAUGUUAAAGACAUUGUCUGAUACAAAUCAACAGGAUAACUGAAUGGGAUUGUCUCUUAUGGUGACAUUUGAUUUUAACUUAGUCUUCAUUUGUAUUGUCUGUGUUUCAUAUGGCCACAGCCUAGACUCAGACGGGCACUGGAUCAUCGGUGCUGACCAGAGGGACAUCCCAGGCCUAGAUGACAAACUAAAGAAGUUCCACCUCAACCCAGAAGAAUAGAGCAUCUGGAGUUUCUGGAUGAAAAGGAACUUCUGCAGCAGCUCCUCCAACACUCAGUAUCUGCUGGGCCACCAAGGACAAGUUCAAGCAGGAGUCUCACAAGUUGCUUUCUGAACCUGGACUGUCUUGUCUUAAGCCUCUU